UGGCUCAGUUGGUAGAGCAUGGUGUUUGCAACGCCAGGGUUGUGGGUUCGAUUCGCAC
rnacentral:tRNA from 1 species